rnacentral:rRNA from 1 species
GCCCCAAGUAGAGUGGCGCACGGGUGAGUAACGCGUGGACAAUCUGCCCUUAUGACUGGAAUAACAGUUGGAAACGGCUGCUAAUACCGGAUACGCUCAGGAAGAACUUUUUGAGGAAAGGUGGCCUCUGCUUGCAAGCUGUCGCAUAAGGAUGAGUCCGCGUCCCAUUAGCUAGUUGGCGGGGUAACGGCCCACCAAGGCAACGAUGGGUAGCCGAUUUGAGAGGAUGACCGGCCACACUGGGACUGAAACACGGCCCAGACUCCUACGGGAGGCAGCAGUGGGGAAUAUUGCGCAAUGGGCGAAAGCCUGACGCAGCGACGCCGCGUGAGGGAUGAAGGUUUUCGGAUCGUAAACCUCUGUCAGAAGGGAAGAAACUGCCGUGCUCUAAUCAUCAUGGCAUUGACGGUACCUUCAAAGGAAGCACCGGCUAACUCCGUGCCAGCAGCCGCGGUAAUACGGAGGGUGCAAGCGUUAAUCGGAAUUACUGGGCGUAAAGCGCACGUAGGCUGUUGUGUAAGUCAGGGGUGAAAUCCCACGGCUCAACCGUGGAACUGCCUUUGAUACUGCACGACUUGAAUCCGGGAGAGGGUGGCGGAAUUCCAGGUGUAGGAGUGAAA